ensembl:lncRNA
UGCUAGCACAACGUCGCGAGUAACGUACCCUCAUUCUGCGGAGCGAGGCGCAAUGACCAGACGUGUAUGAGCUGUGUGUCCGGUCCACAGAAUCAUCAUCAUCAUCAUCUGCCUACUCGGUGCCAAUCCUGGUACCCUGUAGCAUUCAUCUGCUCUUGUCACCACACUACAGCUUGUCAAAGAACAUGGAAUAUCAAUUAAAAUUCUGUUCGUCAGAAAUGAGGGGAGGGUCUGACACGGUGCAUCAUUUCGAUGGUCUAAGCAUGACCACCAUAUGACCCAGACAGAUUUAAUUUCUCACGCUAAUAACCCUUCAAUGUGGUGCCCUUUGUAACGUUAUCUUCCUAUCAGAGGCAGUUGGCAUCAUGUUUCCAAUGUCAACUUGUUAUUGUGCAUUCAUCAGUCUUUGUUGCGUCACAGGAUCAAGUUUUGUGGUUAUCAUUUCUUCUUUUUUUUGGACGCAGACCCUCAUCGACCUCACAGAGGUAUUCCAGGCAGCAGAGGCCUGGCUGCUAUUAUUGUGAUCAAUGUGUUUACCACACGGUUUUCUUUCUUUCUCAAGGCUGAUUAAAGUUCAUUGAUUCAUUCAUUGCUCCAGAUGUUUCUUUAAAACAAUUUACCCACAGCUGGAGAAGUUUACUGUGGAAUAGAGGGCAGAUUUAUUUCGAAAUGUACAUGUAUGGAAUCCCAGACAGCCAAGCGACGAAAAGAACUGUGGUGAUUCAUUUUCAAAGCCUGUUGUUUGCUCUUCUGUGUUUGAUCAGUGAAAGUGCUUGUGAUGCUCAUUUCAUCUUCAAUAGGCUGUUGUGUUAUUAAACAGACAUAUCUGCACAAUAACUAACCUCUUAGAAGAAUAUUUAUUGUGCCUCAGGAAGCAGGCUCUUUCCCAGACUUCUGAUAAGCACAUAGAACAACCAUUUAACAAGGAAACGAUGGUCCAUUUAGAGUUGUUACAGCCUUUUGGAAUGUAUGGCCAUAACACAGGCCAGCAAAAGGUCGUUGUGGUCAAGACGGAAAAGACUCUACCAUAACAUAACGCAAGGUUUAGUACCAGUUCUUUAUUGAACGAUUUCCAGCAUAAUAUACAAAUGACAUCAGGGUCUCGAAGGCCAGACAAUAAACAAAUCUUCCCCACUAACUUGAAAAUAAGGGCUCAGCUUACCUACUCAAAAUAAACAGAAAAAAUACUGCGCUCUUUAUCUAGCCGAAAAGAAGGAGGUUAAAACAAAUGGCAAAGAACCACUACAUAAAUAGCUC